rnacentral:lncRNA from 10 species
CACCCACAGAACUUUCCACAAGGCAGUUGCUAUCCUGCUGCCCUCUGUUUCAGGCAAAGGCUCAGAAACAAGUGGUAAAAUAACAGAAUUUUGGAAAUCAUAAACAUUUGCAACUUACAAAAAAACUUUGAGGACGAUGAUAUCUACUUACCGCUUAGCAGAUGAGAAAACGGAGACACAGAUAAAUUAAAUGUGUUGCUCUGAGUCCUAAGGCUACUAAGGGGCCACUCAGCCCAAAACUUGGCUUUCAAUUCCACUCUGGGACUCUGUACACUGUUCUUGUUGCUAUUAUACUGCCCAGAGAAUGGGAUGUUUCUGUUUAUUAAAUAAAAGUCCUUAAGUAUACAAACAUAGAAGGACUACAUUCCUAAUUCGCAAAAAGGGGGAACAAAGUUACAUAGAAUCCUAAAACUACCCUGAACAAAGCUGAAGUUGCUAGGAUCUUACAGAAGAUUCAUCCAGGUCCAGCCUUCGAGGUGAUUACAGGUCUCCAGUAGUCUGUCUACAUCUUUCUCAGAUCCCCGUCUUCAGAGACCAAGUUUACUACUUAAUGACUGAACAUUUUAUCCGCAAAACCCCUGAUCCACUGACUUACUGUGCUAAUAAAACUUACUUCCAUAAUAGCAUGUUGUUACGGGUGAGUUUUCGUUCUUAGCACUCCCAAGAUGGUGGCGGACCACUCCCAAGAUAGUGGCGGCCACUUCCAAGAUGGCAGCAAGCCUUUUGUUCCCUGAUCUGGGGUUCUUGGCCUCACGGAUUCCAAGGAAUGGAACCUUGGGCCAUGCGGUGAGUGUUAUAGCUCUAUUAGAAGCCAUGGAUCACAGAAGAGAACCGUGGAACCCAGCAACUAGUGUUCAGCUCAAUUGGGACGAACCCAAGGACUUAGCUGCGCAGGAACAAUGGUGAGCCUCU